UGAUGGCGACCGGCGCACGGGUGAGUAACACGUAUCCAACCUGCCGAUAACUCGGGGAUAGCCUUUCGAAAGAAAGAUUAAUACCCGAUGGUAUAAUAAAGCCGCAUGGUUUAAUUAUUAAAGAAUUUCGGUUAUCGAUGGGGAUGCGUUCCAUUAGGCAGUUGGUGAGGUAACGGCUCACCAAACCUUCGAUGGAUAGGGGUUCUGAGAGGAAGGUCCCCCACAUUGGAACUGAGACACGGUCCAA
rnacentral:rRNA from 1 species